CGGGAACACUAUGGGACUGCUCGGAGGAUGCCGCCACUGUCUUAUUCACAGGACACACUCAUGUGAAAGGAGAUCUGCACACCGGUCCGAAAAUACAUUCUUACCUCAUGUAUAUAUGCUUGCAUGUUUGUAGAAAAUUUAGGUUUUAUCCAUGUGGAUUUCUCACAAUAAAGCAUCGACUGUCAAGAUUAUUGGAAUGAACACCGUUUCCAUUAGCAGGAGCCCUGUAGGACCAGCCUUUGAAUGAAAAUCUUGGCCUAGGUGGUUAUUAAAAGAACUGAGAACUGAGAUGAAGAUAUCAGAGAGUUGACUGCUGUGCAAGGACUUUGAAGAGUCAGAAGACAUCACAAAGUGAUUCCAAAUUAAUAACGCAAGACAUAAACCUUUGUAAUUUACUCAGUAAAACAUAAUUAU